GUGUCAGCAGCCGCGGUAAUACGAAGGGGGCUAGCGUUGUUCGGAAUUACUGGGCGUAAAGCGCACGUAGGCGGAUUUGUAAGUAGGGGGUGAAAUCCCCGGGCUCAACCCGGGAACUGCCUUCUAGACUGCAAGUCUCGAGAUCAGGAGAGGCAAGCGGAAUUCCGAGUGUAGAGGUGAAAUUCGUAGAUAUUCGGAGGAACACCAGUGGCGAAGGCGGCUUGCUGGACUGAUACUGACGCUGAGGUGCGAAAGCGUGGGGAGCAAACAGGAUUAGAUACCCGUGUAGUCC
rnacentral:rRNA from 1 species